rnacentral:rRNA from 1 species
UACGUAGGGUGCAAGCGUUGUCCGGAAUUAUUGGGCGUAAAGAGCUCGUAGGCGGUCUGUCGCGUCGGAUGUGAAAACUCGGGGCUCAACCCCGAGCCUGCAUUCGAUACGGGCAGACUAGAGUUCGGUAGGGGAGAACGGAAUUCCUGGUGUAGCGGUGAAAUGCGCAGAUAUCAGGAGGAACACCGGUGGCGAAGGCGGUUCUCUGGGCCUUGCCUGACGCUGAGGAGCGAAAGCGUGGGGAGCGAACAGG